rnacentral:rRNA from 1 species
CGACACACUAUCGUUAACUGAAUACAUAGGUUAACGAGGCGAACCGGGGGAACUGAAACAUCUAAGUACCCCGAGGAAAAGAAAUCAACCGAGAUUCCCCCAGUAGCGGCGAGCGAACGGGGAGCAGCCCGGAGUCUGAAUCAGCUUGUGUGUUAGUGGAACGGUCUGGAAAGUCCGACGGUACAGGGUGAUAGUCCCGUACACGAAAAUGCACAUGCUGUGAACUCGAAGAGUAGGGCGGGACACGUGGUAUCCUGUCUGAAUAUGGGGGGACCAUCCUCCAAGGCUAAAUACUCCUGACUGACCGAUAGUGAACCAGUACCGUGAGGGAAAGGCGAAAAGAACCCCGGCGAGGGGAGUGAAAAAGAACCUGAAACCGUGUACGUACAAGCAGUGGGAGCACCUUCGGGUGUGACUGCGUACCUUUUGUAUAAUGGGUCAGCGACUUAUAUUCUGUAGCAAGGUUAACCGUAUAGGGGAGCCGAAGGGAAACCGAGUCUUAACUGGGCGUUAAGUUGCAGGGUAUAGACCCGAAACCCGGUGAUCUAGCCAUGGGCAGGUUGAAGGUUGGGUAACACUAACUGGAGGACCGAACCGACUAAUGUUGAAAAAUUAGCGGAUGACCUGUGGCUGGGGGUGAAAGGCCAAUCAAACCGGGAGAUAGCUGGUUCUCCCCGAAAGCUAUUUAGGUAGCGCCUCGUGAACUCAUC